rnacentral:rRNA from 1 species
AACGAACGCUGACGGUGUGCCUCAUACAUGCAAGUCGAGCGGGCUCAGCAAUGGGUCAGCGGCGGACGGGUGAGUAACACGUGAACAAUCUGCCCCCGAAUUUGGGAUAACGGCUCCAACGAGCCGCUAAUACCGGAUAGGUUUUCCUUGUCACCUGGCAGGGUUAAGAAAGUUGCAAUUGCAACGUUCGGGGAUGAGUUCGCGGCCCAUUAGCUAGUUGGCGGGGUAAUGGCCCACCAAGGCGACGAUGGGUAGCCGGCCUGAGAGGGUGAUCGGCCACAUUGGGACUGAGAUACGGCCCAGACUCCUACGGGAGGCAGCAGUAGGGAAUUUUGCGCAAUGGACGAAAGUCUGACGCAGCAACACCGUGUGAGGGAUGAAGCAUUUCGGUGUGUAAACCUCUGUCGAUGAUGAAUAAAGCAUGUGGGAGUGGAAAGCCCAUGUGUUGAAGGUAAUCAUGAAGGAAGCACCGGCUAACUCUGUG